GGGCGUGUAGCUCAGCUUGGAUAGAGCAUUAAUCCAAUUAGACGCUCUAUUUGGAGUGGAGGCCUUCUAAGCUAAGGGUCGCGGGUUCGAAUCCCGUCGCGCCCA
rnacentral:tRNA from 1 species